GACGAACGCUGGCGGCGUGCCUAAUACAUGCAAGUCGAACGCAGUGGGGACGGGUAAGUAACACGUGGGUAACCUCCCAUCAGAGGGGAUAACACUUGGAAACAGGUGCUAAACCGAUACUGAUGGAUGGACCCGCGGUGCAUUAGCUAGUUGGUGAGGUAACGGCUCACCAAGGGCACGAUGCAUAGCCGACCGGAGAGGGGGACCGGCCACACUGGGACUGAGAAACGGCCCAGACUCCUACGGGAGGCAGCAGUAGGGAAGCUUCGGCAAUGGACGAAAGUCUGACCGAGCAAUGCCGCGUGAGUGAAGAAGGUUUUCGGAUUGUAAAGCUCUGUGGUUAGAGAAGCGGUAUCUAACCAGAAAGCCACGGCUAACUACGUGCCAGCAGCCGCGGUAAUAC
rnacentral:rRNA from 1 species